rnacentral:misc_RNA from 1 species
AAGUCGUAACAAGGUCUUCGUAGGUGAACCUGCGGAGGGAUCAUUAGUGAUUUCCAGGGGAGUCCCUCUUCAUCAGAGAAGGCCCCGUCACUAUACCUUACACUUGUGCAUUGUCCUUUUUUUUUAACUCUGUGUAUUCGAAGCCGUCUUGUGAUAAAACCUUUGAUAAACGAAAAAAAAACUUUCAGCAAUGGAUCUCUUGGCUCUC